UGUUCACAAAGUUAGACAAAUGCUGCAAUUCUGCAGAAUUCAAUAUAAUUUAGAGAAACUUAAGAAAUGAUGAGAUGAUGUGUUGGUAAUGAAAAUGGCUAAAUGUCCAAGAAUGAAAAUCCUGCUUCUGAAAAAAGAACUGUUUAUUUAAUUCUAUUCAGUUUGAUAUGGAAUGGCAGGUUAGAAAAUUGUUAUCUUUUAUCAAUGCUGAAGGAUGCAUUUCCAUCCAGAAAGAAGAACCUUGUAUUACAUUUGCUGGAAUAUUUAAACUGCACAGAAAUUAAAGACAAUGAAUCUAUCACACUCAUCGAAUAAGAAAAGAACAUUGGAUCAUAGUACAAGAAAAUGAACAAAUACAGAAAUAUUAACAUGUAAAUCAAAUUCACACUUAGCCAUCAUAUAUAGUUUAUUUCAAAGACUAUUUAUUAUUCAACUCUAAAAUCUUUCUCUUCUAUUUUUUCAAUUUAUUUUUUAUUGCAACUUUUACUUCCGUUAAACUGCUUCCUAUGGACUCAAUUCACUAAGAAAAGUAAUUCCAGCACU
rnacentral:lncRNA from 1 species